CUUCGGUGAUGAUACGAUGACGAGUCGGAAAGGGACUUGCCCUCACUCUGGGAUGACUGGUCCGGGGGCAUGUUCUGUGUCACUGGGUUUUGUCUCUCAAAGUAGGGUGUCUUUUUCAGGUGAAGACAUUGAGGCAUUUGUCUGAGAAGG